GUCAUUCUACUUUGUUUUAGAAAUAAAAAAGGUUUUGGUGAAUUUAGGAAUCAGAUCAGCACCUUAUAAGCAGUUUGAUAGUCAUAGGAAGAAAAUUUAAGACCCAGAAUGAAGUAUUAAGCUCUCAAAAAUAUCACUGAUAAUUUGUAUUUCCAAACAAAUCCACCAAUACUGUGACACAGAAUAAUUAAAAUUAAAUAAAGUCCUUUUGUUUCCUUACACCAUUAACGUGAGCUCAGUGGGUUUUUGUACUUUUUUUUUUCAGAUCUUUCUCAGAUACUGACUCAGUGAAGAUUUAUGAAUAUUGAUCAAAAAUGCUCCUCAGAUGAAAAUAUUACUUAGACACACAUAUCUAUGCUUACUGAUUAAACUGGAUGCUUCAUUUCUUCAAAUUUUUAGUGAAGAAAUUGUUAGUCCAGAUCUGGAUCACUCCGUCAUCAUCAAGUCUUGAUCUGGCAAUUUGCCUGGGAAGCUAUAUCCAGCAACAGGACCAAAUUUAUGCCAGUUUUUCUAAGUGCUGGUGGCAGAUAAAGUGUGUGAGCGAGGAGGAAAGCUGGUGAAUGUCUGUAAGAGCAGAAAAUGGACUGGUUUGGAGUAGCCAGUUAGAGAGCGUGGGAGACUGAAAACUCAUUUACAAAAGCUCUUCUGCCCUCAAGCAAGUCAAACUCCCUGCUGAGGAGCUGCUUUUUUUUCCUCCCUUUUGAGUCUUGUGUACCGCAUUGACCUUUCCCCUGCAUAGGUCAGUCCUCUGUUCGCCCAGGGUACACACGGCCUUCUGGGGUUUGAACGCCUCAGAAGCCUGCAGAGAAUUUCUUUUCUUCGAGGCUAAUUCCUGAGAGGAAAACCUGAAGCAAAUGUCAUGCCAGCUAAUAACCGGGCCAAUUUUUGAAGACACUUGUAUAGAUUAUGUUCGUAACAAAAUAAAAUGGAAGCAAAUAUAUUUUGGGUGUAAGUGUAAGGCCUUACAACCCAUUUAAAAAUUAGGGAUCAGAAUCUCUUCCUAGGUGAUUCUUGUGGGAAUGUUGAAUUCUCCUGGUUUUUCCCAAAGAGUCACUUAAGAUGAGAAUACCAAGCCAAAAUAUUUAAUUUAAAAGCAUUGCUUCCUUUCUGUCUCCUGCCAAAAACUUAGUUUGAAAUUCACAUGUACUGUAAUAUUCUAUUAAAUAUAUCAUUAAUGAUUGUGGAUCAAAGGCAAACCACAGAGGGUUAUGCAAAACUUCCAGAUAAUUACUUAGGUGCUUGAAAAAAAAAAAUCUUAUUCAUAAGGGUAUCAAGUUCCUCCAUGUCUGAGGGUGGGUUCAAUCAAAAAUCUUUACCAGCAGACAGAUACAUCGAAUCUAUUGCAGUACACAGAAUCUGGUAGACAGUACUUAGGAGGAAAAUGGGGAGGAAAUUCUACUUCAUUAAAAUGUAGUUACUCUAAAGGAACCUUUCCUCCUUACUUUCCCCCUUGCUCUCUUUUACACUUCAGAUCAUUUAAAAAAAAGCCUUUGAUUUCCACGGUUCCUUUCUUCUCAAGAAGCUCAAGCUUGUAAAUACCUUGUUUUCAUCUUAUUUUCACAAAUUGAGAAUGAGAGGAGAGGAAUAAUUACCUUGAGCAGUAUUUUAUAGAAUCCAAGGGCGGAGUUUAGAAUUAUAGACUGCUAGAGUUGGAAAGCAAUUGUAGAAGUCAUGUAGCCCAGCACCAACAUUUUACAAUUGAAGAACCAGAGAAUUUAUUUGCCCAAGGUGACACCACUGGUUAGUCGCAGAAUAGAGGCUAGAAUCCAACUCUUUUUACUCCCAACACAAUUCUUUCAUAAAAUCUUUAGAUUCCCAAGUCAUAUCACUAAUAUGCUAACCUGAUUUUUCUCAAUUUCUAAAUCAAGUGAUUUCUAUGAGAAAAUCUUCAUACAAAACCAGCAAAUAUGAAACACAUUUUAAAAAUAGCAGUCCUCUUAUAAAUAUACUGGCAGCAAUUAAUUUCUAUCCUUCACAGCUCUGCAAUGUCAUUAUUCUGCGGUAAAGUGGAAAGAGGGCUGGGUUUAAAGUCAGGAGUCUUAGGUUUAAAUAAAUUCUUGUUCUGUUACUUAUUACCUGUGUGACCUUGGACAGUCAUUUAACUUUUUGGGGUUAGGUUCUUCAUUGAUAAACUAAAGAUGGGGGCAAAUUAGAUCAGAAGUUCUUAAUCUUUUUCUGUGUCAUGGACCUCUUUAGCAAGUCCAGAGAAGCCUAUGAACCUCUUUUCAGAAUGAUGCUCUUAAGUAAAUAAAAUAAAAUAGAAAUAUAAA